CCCGGACUUCCUGUCACUACUUCUCAGAGCUCAUUUCAGAGGGUUUUCAACAGACAACAAGAGAGCGAAAAGCGUACCAUCCAUCUGAACAGAAGCCUGUUUGGUAAGAUGGUGCAAUCGUUGCUCUUCGCUCUCUUUCUGGCGGUCAGUCCCACCUGCACCGAGGCCUUUGGAGUCAUGAACGGUUGUUACAUCCUGGAUGGGAUCCUCAUCCUUUACGGCGUCAUUCUCACUGUCUUGUACUGCAGACUCAGGAUCAGUCCAGCCAGCAAAAGGUCUGCCAAUCAACCUGAGAAGCAGCCCGCAGAUGGAGGCAUCUAUGCGGGUCUGACUUCGCGCAGUACUGAUACCUACGAGACCUUGAGAAUGGACAAAAAGCCCAUUGUGUGAUGGAGACGGAGGAUACCGAGCACAGUGCUGAAUCUCUUGAAGCUUUAUACUUUUUUCCUGAGGCUCAUCACAACACCGGAAGCUAACGCAUCCAGCUGUCUAUUAUGAAAACAGUGACGCAAAACAAGUUUGAAAUUCCCUAGAAAUGGCUGCAGUUGGAUGAUGAUGACAUUAGCAUUUAUUAACCUAUUAUUAUAUAUAACCUGUUAACAUUUUUCUUUACAUUGAUCAUGCUAACAUUAAAUCAUGUUAAACCUGCUGCUUUGACAAAAGCUGUUUCUUGCAACAAGACAAUAAAACUAUAUGAAUAAAGCCUUUA